UUCCGAACCCGGUAGUUAAGGCUCUUAGCGCUGAUGGUACUGCACCCGGUAGGUGUGUGGGAGAGUAGGUCGCCGCCGAGA
rnacentral:rRNA from 1 species